GGGCCUUUAGCUCAGCUGGCAGAGCACUGCGUUUACACCGCAGGUGUCGUCGGUUCGAUCCCGGCAGGGCCCA
rnacentral:tRNA from 4 species